GAUGAACGCUGGCGGCGUGCCUAAUACAUGCAAGUCGAACGAAACUUCUUUAUCACCUAGUGCUUGCACUCACCGAUAAAGAGUUGAGUGGCGAACGGGUGAGUAACACGUGGGCAACCUGCCCAAAAGAGGGGUAUAACACUUGGAAACAGGUGCUAAUACCGCAUAACCAUAGUUACCGCAUGGUAACUAUGUAAAAGGUGGCUAUACUACCGCUUUUGGAUGGGCCCGCGGCGCAUUAGCUAGUUGGUAGGGUAAAGGCUUACCAAGGCAAUGAUGCGUAGCCGAAUUGAGAGGUUGAUCGGCCACAUUGGGACUGAGACACGGCCCAAACUCCUACGGGAGGCAGCAGUAGGGAAUCUUCCACAAUGGGCGAAAGCCUGAUGGAGCAACGCCGCGUGGGUGAAGAAGGUCUUCGGAUCGUAAAACCCUGUUGUUAGAGAAGAAAGUGCGUGAGAGUAACUGUUCACGUUUCGACGGUAUCUAACCAGAAAGCCACGGCUAACUACGUG
rnacentral:rRNA from 1 species